rnacentral:lncRNA from 13 species
GCAUAAUAAAAAAUUGAUCAGUUGUAAGUUUGCAUCGUCCGUACAGUAUAAUGUAUAUUCACACAUUUAUGAUGUGCUCUAAUGCGCCUUAAUAUGCAUAGUAAUUUUCAAAUGUGCCACCUAAAAUUAAGCAUAUAUUUAUUCCUAUAAAUUUUUUUUUUUUUUUACUCUAACGCUAAAACCCUCAAAGCAUUGAUAUACACGUAUAAUUAAGACUGAUUCCCUCACAAAACAAAUUUUUAAAUAACAACUUUAACUUGGAAUCACAGCAUAAAUAUUCUUCUUGUGCCAUUAAAUUUCAAAGCAUUGAGAAGGAUUCUCAUAUUUCGCAUGAAACUUUCCACUGAGGUCGUCAAUAACGCUUCUCAUAGUAGCAGCAGAUUUGCGACCGUCAUAAUUGCAGUGCCGAUAGCGGUCGUGUAUAUAGAUUGACCACACAACCAGCUAACCACACUGCCAACAUGCCGAUCGCUAAAGGAAGUUGUUCCUUUAAACGAUUAAAAAAGAUGUUGAACCGAUGAGCCUCCAAAUACUCUCUUCAACCGCUCUUCAAGCUCGACUGAUGAUCAUUUUCUUCUUCUUGUCAUUUCCGUUUUAUCUUUAUUGUUAUGACAAUCGAUAAUUUCGUCGAUGAAUGAUUGAAAAUUUAUUGCUUCAUCGCAAUACUCUUGUUUUAGUGCAUUUGUGAUCUGAUGAUCGUUUAAAAUUACAUUUCAUUAAAAUCAGAUUAAUUGCGGACAAUUACUGAAACAAUUUGUAGCGCAAACCGGAGAUAAAAAAUUAACAUGAUACUUCCAUAAUAAGUAAUGCAUAAACUUACGUGGAAAAAUAUUAAUUAAGCGCCGAAAUUAUAUCGACUGCACAGAUUCCGCAAUGAGACAGCAAUAAACUUUUUCCAUCACUUGACAAUCAGUUGACUACUUACAUAAUUAUUAUAAUGACAUCUUGGAACUAGACAUUCCAUGACUUGAAAGUAUACGCAAAAAAUAACACCAAUUAACUCCAAUAUCUCAGAAGUGAUAGAAUCCUUGCGUUUCAACGUAUCAACAUUAAAUCUGAUUGUGUAUUUGAUUGUAAUUAUCUUAAUAACGCUUAUAAAAUGCAUUUUGUGAAACUCGUGAUGUGCAUAUACAUGAUCGCGGAAACGUACUUGAAAUCCAAAUUUUGCGUGGUCUGCGAGAGGCGGAAGGGAAAAUACGCAAAUGUCAAAGGGAAUACUCGGAACGCAUGUGUUACGAGAUUUUCCUAACGAUCGACCUUGCUUCUGUCGAAUCUCUGGCUCCAAGAGGCACUACGCUCUCAUCAGAGUCAAUUAUUUUUAACCAAGUCCGUCCUGGCUUCGCCUCUUUCUCCCUUUCCCACUUUUUCCAUUUUACCAUUUAAAGAGAGCUAUGAAAUAAUAUCUAAUAGUUUUUUAACCAAAUAUAGCUGUGACAACAGUACAUAUAUAUAUAUAAUUUGUUUUGAAAAAUGUAAAAAUUUUUUUAAUUAACGUUUAGACUUGCUAAAACACUUAAAAAUUACAAAGACGUAAUAUUUAAUUUUCUUUCGCGGGAUUUUAAAAAUAUAUCAUACGAGUAUAUCAUACGAAUAUGCUUUUAAUCAUCUAAAAAUUUUGAUGUAUUUUUAUUCAUAUCGAUCUAUUCAUAUCAUAUGAAUUUCUUUUUCUGAUAAUGUUUUCGGUUAAAUAUUGACUUUGAAGUAGUUAAAAAGAUGUUUUGCUCCGAUGAGCAAUUUGACAGCUUGUCGAGCGAUUUAACUUCUUUUUGUAUCUAUAAACCUUUCAGAUGAUCGAUAAUACAUAGAUAAAAUGAAUGAAAAUAGAUGAAGUGAAAAAACAAGCUUUCUCUCAAUUAAAAUUAUUCAAGUCCAUUUGCAAAUAUGCAAUUUAAAUUUGAAUUAUGGUUUAUUCUAUUAGUUUUUUUUAAUUUUUUUUUUUUUAUAUUAAUUAAUACUAAUGUUCACCUAAGAUAAAUAGGAUUCGAUUAUUAUUAUUAAAUAAUUCAAAUACUGUGUGGAUGUCCACAUUUCGUCAUCUGGAUACUAUAGGAAAAAGAAAAUUUUCAGAACUACAUUAUUUAUAUCUACAAAUUAAAAUAACUAGUAAAGGCGCUGGUGAAAUUAAAUGAAAAACGCAUUAGAUGAUUUUUAUUGCCAUUUGAUACAAUAAUAUAUGAUUCCAUGUAUAAGCAAUGUGCAUGUGUGUACUUGUGUAUACGUAUAAAUUAUCACAUAUAUGCGAAGUCUUGUUGCAUGAAACGAAUAUGCAACAAGCACUCCUCCGUUAACAAAUUUCUCAUUACAAACGAUCGAACGCCAUUAUACAUUUAUUCAUAGGAAACUGUCAUUACCGAAGAAGUCGCAAAAAGGAAAAAAAAAACCAUUUAUCAGUGUAGCGUGCACUCGUUCGUGCUUAAUCGUUGCAUCCCUUUCUCCGCGAGAUAUUAUACAUAUCUCGGAACAAAAAGGAGGGAACGGAGUGAAAAGCGGCAAUGACAGUUAUUUUUUAGCAGAAUUUAUUUAUUGGAGCAUAUACACAUUGUGCAGUUUUCAAACAGAUUUUCCCAUAGACAAUUUCCCAUAAAUCAUCGACGUAUUACCGAGCAAUUUCACAUUACUUGUAGAAAUUUAUAUUACUCAUUCGCCGAUACAGAAUCCAAAAUUUAAAUUUACGCAACAAAAAUCAAAUGUAUUAUUAUUAUCUAUCGUCAGUUGUAUUGUUCCAAACUGAUUUCUGUAUAAAAAUUACCGAUGCGAUUACACCAUUAAUACUUGAGAAAUACAUGCAGAUUUAACUAAACUAAUAUUUCUCUAGACUAUAUCCCCAGAGAAACACUUGCGAAUACUUUUAACAUUACGACACAUUAUUAUUUCGCUUUUAUUUAUAAUACGUGUACUUUAGAGAAAAAUUUGACACAGAAUAAUAGACAUACAUUCCCAUGCUCUACUUAUAGCGAGUUACAAAAAGCUAUAAUUCAUAUAAAUUCUAUCGUAACAAUAUCGAUUAUUCUUAUUGAGAGUAAUAUUUAAAUCAAAGAUAAAAAAUAGAGUUGAAUUGUAAAAUAUUAAUUUUUUCUACCGAAAACUUAAUUGAAUCUGAUUAUUUUAUAAUCGUAUUACUAUAAUCGAAUAUAAAAGUAAAACAAUUCAGAUAUUUUCCUUUGAUUUAAAUUUUCUCUCAAAUCCAAGAUUGUUACUAAUAUAAGAGAAAGAUCCUGAAAAUUCUGUAUAAACAAGAUAGAAUCCUCAUAAAGAUAUUGUACAUUAUGCACGGUACAGAAUUAUCCGAAACUUUGUAAGUUUUGGAAGAAUCUGAAAGGUGAUGGGUCAACUUUCGCUCGAUGACGAAGGGGUACCGCGCAGUCUGGUACAUAUGUAUAUUGAUGUCAAUUUUUAAUCGUGCACACUUAUCUACGUUACAACUAAGCUAAAAAGAUGACGUCCUGUCACACGAUCGCUGAUGACGGCGACAGAAGAGAUGUCGUACCAGAUAGUGCAUUUACAGUAUUCAGGGCCCGUGUAAACGCGCAUCUGGCACGAGCCCCAACUGCCCUGUAAUCUCGUAUUGGCUCGCUUCCGCUCCACUCGCUCUCAUGCUCUUUUUACUCGUUAAUCUUCGCAGUCUAUCCCCCUUUUUUCCCCUUUAUCUGCUUUCCAAUUUAUCCGUCCUCGUAUCAAGUUGCAAUAAAAUUGCAAUGUCUCUUUUAUCACGAUAUUAAUAAGCAAGUACCUCAUUAGACAGUAAUGUUGAAUUUGUAGCUAAUCACAAUUAAUUUACGUGUUUUAGGUAUUGAAAAUGUAAACACUUAUGUAAUAAAGUACAAGUCACGCGAUUAUCUCUAACGUGUAAUUAGAUCUUCACUCCACGGCAUAAUCGAAAAAUAGAAAAAAAAACUUGAUGGCAAUGACAAUUGCGACUGUUGUGCUCGAUGAAUCGAGACAAUGAAAAAUUCUUCACGAAUUUCUUCAAGACUAAAUGAUAAAAAUGGCGGCAGUUAAGAGUUUCUCGGGCGCGCCGUGUCGUCCAGAAGGAUGUCAGCUGAUGCUAUUUUCCCCUCGAAACGCGAAACGAGAAGAGAACGACGCUGCUAAUAAUAGCAGCCACUGUCCCCGGUACCACGACGCUCCGGCGUCGAGACGCGUCUCUUCGUCGUCGUACUGGGCGCGAUCCGUUAAUGCACACCGACGAAGUCGGUGCAACUCCACUCGAUGCUUUUAGACAGCCAAUCCUUUCAUAGACGACGACGACGACGACGACGACGACGACGUCGUCGUCGUCGUCGCCACCGCGGUGCGUGUCCCAAGGACGUUACGAGUUACCGAUGUUACCAUGAUCACUUUUGAGUUUGAGAGAAACAUCUCGUUAUUUUCAAUUAAUUUCAUCUUCGCAUUCUCCCAACGAGUUUUAUCAAAAUAGUCUUAUUAUCUCAAUAUAUAUGAUUAUUGUAGAACAAUCGAAAAAAAAUUUUACGUUUAUGUUUAGAAAGAGCUGUAUGGUCACUGCACCGCGUAUAUAUACACACAUACACAUAGAUACAUGUGUGUGUGUGUGUGUGUGUGUGUGUGUGUGUGUGUGUGUGUGUGUGUGUGUGUGUGUGUAUAAUGUAAAUAUAUUCUUCCGUCCGCACAAUUUGAAUUUUUCCUUUUCCUCAUCACAAAAUAAUUCGCCGAUAUAAAAUUAUUUGACAGCAAUUUGGUAAUUUUUUAAUUAUAAACCCAACUGAUUUACUAUUUCAGAUUUCACAUUAUCUCUCACUGAGGACUGAUUUAAUAUCAAAGAGGAAGAAGUAUCAUGCGAUAAACAAACGAUUAUCUGUCAUCGAUUAUUUUCUAAUCCGAUCAUGUACUGUCACAACAAUAACACGACGUCGCAUAGAAUUAUGAGAUUAUGCUAUUCAUAUUAUGAGCGUUCGUUGUUUUCGGUACCAAGCUCGAUUUAAAAUCCAUCAAACAACCGUCUUGUCACACAAUUCAUCGAAGAAUACGUAUUAGGGGUAAUAAACUUGGAUAGCGCAAAAGUAAAGCGAUCAAUCGCGGUCUACGGUUUGGAAUUGGAAGAAAACAGGUGUCCUGUUUGCCUGUUCGAAUACAAGACACUUGUACUUUUCCCCUUUAGAUCGCGGAGAAUCGCGACGCCGCCGCGCCGAUUGCUCAAACUUGCAGAGGAACGCGAUUAUCGAAUCGAAUUUAAUUCCGAUUCUCACAUAAGAGUCAGAGAAAACCUCUUGUCGCACUAUUGCUAUUUUCAACACACCCACGCAGAUACGCAUCAAGGAUACAGUAAUCAAUCCCGUAAUAUUACGACACGAUCUCGAAAGAAACUUAAUUAAUUUAACUAUUAAUUUUCCAAAAAUGUUUCACCAGUUUGACCAACACGAGAACACGAUUGCCUCGCAGCAUAAAAACCGUGCUUGAGAUUGAAGCCGCGGAAAGGAGCGGAAAGGAGCGGAAAGGAGCGGAAAGGAAAGGAAAAUUGUUGGCGCGGAUGCACUUUGAAACUCGUCUCGCGCUCAAGUCAAAAGAGCGUGCGGUCACGGUGCAGCAGCGUUGUCGACAUCGCUGCUUAUUCCUCGUGAUUAACUAGCUAGCGGUAACGGCGGCACUACGGGUGCAACUGCAUGAGACGUACGACGAGCGUGGGGCGUGCGGCGUGCGGCGUGCGGCGUGGGGAGUAGGACUGGUUGCCGAAUGCAGUCGAUCGACGGCCGUUUUAGACACGCGGAGCGUGUGGAUUGCACAAUCGUGUACUCGUGCGACCUUGCCUAGUUUGCAACAGGUGCAUCGCGCGAUCUAAAAUUAUCCUGGCGCGGCAGGUGAGUCCGUUUGACCGGUCGCGCGGCGUCGCGUCGCGUCGCGUCGCGUCGUGACCUUCUGCGCAUAAUCGACAAUCGGAUGUGUCGAAACGGCGCGCGACGUGUCGUCGACCAAAGUUCCACCAGCGAUGACCGCCACGAUCGUGGAAUGGAGAAUCACCAUUCACCAUCCGCGAAAAACGCGAAACAAGAGAUCCGAAAUCGGUCGUUGUCGUUUCGGACGAGAGAGAGAGAGAGAGAGAGAGAGAGAGAGAUGCGGCACGACUUGCGACUUUUGACUUUCGACGGGACGCGUAUUUCGCUACGACCGUUCGUCGAGAGAACCAAGGAGACAAUUGCGAUUUACCAGCGUACACGACGUACACUGUCGGCCUGCUCUAGAGCAAUAGCGAUUACACAAUCGCGACCUUGGACCGUGAGCGCGCGGAAUUUAUCGUGCCAAGUAAAUCUCCGCUGGCGGAAUAGAAAUCAAUCUCGGCAAGUAUAGCGCGCGUGCGCAUAUUGUCGAAUGCUAUCGAUUUACAUUUACGGAAUCGAUCAAACGAUCAAUCUGUCACACAAUUGAAUACAACUGUAGAGUUGGAUCGGCGUCAACAAAGAUUGCUCCCAAAGUCAAGAGUUUCGUCAAAUGUUUAAGAUGAUUCUUAAAAAUCGAAGCGUACUACACAUCUUCCCUGCCAUGUAAUUGCGAUGCAAAAGGAUGAUUUAGAUGUCUCACAAUGCAAUUUUACGUUACGUUACACCCAGGUCAACGAACGAAACGUCCUUCGCGUCGAAAUUGAAAGAAAAAAUUGUGAAGGAAAAAAUUAAUCGCGCAAAAUUAAUAUUACAUAUGUACAAUAUACACAAUUGAGCACAAAUGAGCGCCAUGCGACUCGCGAGCGAUACGCGCAACGACUAAGCGACGUCUAGAGCUGCUUGCGACUAAACCCGCCUAGAGCAGAAGCAUGAGCCAGCCAGUAGUAACUGCAACGGCAGCGCUAGCCGCAAACAGCAAGCCAAGUAGAAACGGUUCGACAUUUCCAGUCGCACCAGACGUUAUACAAUCCGCGUGCGUGCACGCUCGGCUGUCUCAUUGCUCCUUAACGCUGAAGACGCGUGCCAAAAGCUCGAGAUUCCCGUUUCCCGUUUCCCGUCAAAGAUGGAACCUGCUGCGAGAGACUAUGAAUAAUUCGAAUACUCGAUGAAAUGUUUGCGACUACAAUAUAAUAAGGAUUAAGAUAGAUUGAAAAAAAAUACAACAAAAAACGAAGAUGUUGAAGAAGAGAAGCGAAACAAUGGCAACGUACAUGGUGGAAAAUCCGAAGCGACGUUCGCUUCGGCGGUAACGAUGUAAUUGGACCACUUUGUCGUUAAACGAGCUUAACGAUCGAUUCUGCCGUGCUACCAUGAUGUACACCGUGCCUUCUACGGAUCCAGUCAGAUCGGCAUGACGGAUCCUCCAACGGAUCGUCAGCUCGUGACGUCGCUAAUAGCAAUGGCACAUCGCUCUUUCCGAGGAUAUACACACAGGGACAAAUUCAAUGACGAAAAUAAAAAUGUCAGAUCAACUGAUUAUACGAAUCGACAAACGUCAAGUCACACUCUCGAUGUCAAUCUUACCGAACUUUAACGGGAAAAAUCACGGGAAUAUAUUUAUUGCAUCUCGCCAAUUUAUACAUAUUACAAAAGAAAAUGUAAUACGAAUGAAGAAAAGUUUAAAAAAAACAUAAAUAAAAAGACAAACGCCUCUUUUUUUUUUAGCGAAAUUGCAGAUGUUUAAUUGGCUUGUCACCUCGGUGUAAGUAAAACGUUGGUAUUGUAGUCUUAAAACAAGAUUCUGACCAUUAAAUGUGAUUUUAUUAA